rnacentral:rRNA from 1 species
GAAUGCUGACAUAAGUAACGAUAAAGCGGGUGAAAAGCCCGCUCGCCGGAAGACCAAGGGUUCCUGUCCAACGUUAAUCGGGGCAGGGUGAGUCGACCCCUAAGGCGAGGCCGAAAGGCGUAGUCGAUGGGAAACGGGUUAAUAUUCCCGUACUUGGUGUUACUGCGAAGGGGGGACGGAGAAGGCUAUGUUGGCCGGGCGACGGUUGUCCCGGUUUAAGCGUGUAGGUGUGUGUUCCAGGUAAAUCCGGUUCACUUUAACACUGAGGCGUGACGACGAGGCACUACGGUGCUGAAGCAACAAAUGCCCUGCUUCCAGGAAAAGCCUCUAAGCAUCAGGUAACAUCAAAUCGUACCCCAAACCGACACAGGUGGUCAGGUAGAGAAUACCAAGGCGCUUGAGAGAACUCGGGUGAAGGAACUAGGCAAAAUGGUGCCGUAACUUCGGGAGAAGGCACGCUGACACGUAGGUGAAGUGAUUUACUCAUGGAGCUGAAGUCAGUCGAAGAUACCAGCUGGCUGCAACUGUUUAUUAAAAACACAGCACUGUGCAAACACGAAAGUGGACGUAUACGGUGUGACGCCUGCCCGGUGCCGGAAGGUUAAUUGAUGGGGUCAGCGCAAGCGAAGCUCCUGAUCGAAGCCCCGGUAAACGGCGGCCGUAACUAUAACGGUCCUAAGGUAGCGAAAUUCCUUGUCGGGUAAGUUCCGACCUGCACGAAUGGCGUAAUGAUGGCCAGGCUGUCUCCACCCGAGACUCAGUGAAAUUGAACUCGCUGUGAAGAUGCAGUGUACCCGCGGCAAGACGGAAAGACCCCGUGAACCUUUACUAUAGCUUGACACUGAACAUUGAGCCUUGAUGUGUAGGAUAGGUGGGAGGCUUUGAAGUGUGGACGCCAGUCUGCAUGGAGCCGACCUUGAAAUACCACCCUUUAAUGUUUGAUGUUCUAACGUGGACCCGUUACCCGGGUUGCGGACAGUGUCUGGUGGGUAGUUUGACUGGGGCGGUCUCCUCCUAAAGAGUAACGGAGGAGCACGAAGGUUGGCUAAUCCUGGUCGGACAUCAGGAGGUUAGUGCAAUGGCAUAAGCCAGCUUGACUGCGAGCGUGACGGC